AGAGAGAGACAUGCGCGCAUAUCAAUAAGCGGAGGAAAAGAAACUAACAAGGAUUCCCUUAGUAACGGCGAGUGAAGCGGGAAGAGCUCAAAUUUGAAAUCUUCAAGGUUUUACCUUGACGAAUUGUAGUUUAAAGAAGUGUUUUCUGCUGAAGUUUUGGUAAAAGUUCUUUGGAAUAGGACAUCAUAGAGGGUGAGAAUCCCGUAUUUGACCAUUAUUUUCAGCUUUGUGAUACACUUUCAAAGAGUCGGAUUGUUUGGGAAUGCAGUCCAAAAUGGGUGGUAAAUUUCAUCUAAAGCUAAAUAUUGGCGAGAGACCGAUAGCGAACAAGUACCGUGAGGGAAAGAUGAAAAGAACUUUGAAAAGAGAGUUAAACAGUACGUGAAAUUGUCAAAAGGGAAGCGUUUGACACCAGUGUUGUUUUCUCGAAAAUCAAUUAAAAAUGGCUCGAUUUUGUAUUGCUUGAGACCUUAAAAGCUCACUGUACAUUUUUCGUGUCUUUUUUAAUGCACUUUUCGUUUAACAAGUCAACAUCAGUUUCUUUUGUUGUAAAAGGGUCAUUGGAAGGUGGCUUUCUUUUCGGAGAAAGUGUUUAUAGCCUUUGGCCUCUGCAAUCGGAGAGACUGAGGUCUGCAGCGUAGACUCUUCGGGGUUAGAUACAUUUGUGCUAAGUUAUAGCUUUUUAUAGACAACUUGUUGACUAUAAUUAGUCUUGUAGCUUACUCGCUUAUGCUAUUUUACCUACGCUUAGGAUGUUGAAGAUGUAGCACAUCA
rnacentral:rRNA from 1 species